AUACCAUGCUAAUGACUUGCUAGAAUAUCUAAUUGAGGUGCUUAUCAUAUUUAUAUGUGGCUAAGUUAUGCUGAUCAGAUUAAUUAUCAUUGUCACUAUUCAUUACUUUAUAUAUCCUUUAUGUGACCCUUACCCCUGUAUGAAAGAAUUAGAUAAAUGUUCUCAAUUAUACAUGUAAUGAUAGAUACUCAAUCUUAUAUUCCAUUCUAUAAUCAACAUUGAUGGUUACUAAUCCCUUCCCAGUGGUAAAAAUAUAAAUAACGAUACCUGAAAUACUUCCCGGUUAAAAUGUUACAUCGGUAUUAAUCUGUGCGCUCGCAGAUCCCAUUUGUUAUUUAUUUAGAUGAGCAAUUGCAUAUUUCGAUACCGCGUCUCUCAUGUCAUGCUGGGGAUGAUAACUUGGCUUAUGUGGUAUGAGAGAUAGGUUUGGCAUUUUUGGCACCGUUAUCAAAAUUAGAAACUGUCUACUUUUGGUAGUGAUGUUAAGAAUACCCAACACGGAGGACAUAGUAAUCGCUGUCAAGGUGCUGCCGACAUUCAAAUACACCUCCGACACCUGCUAGCUACAUCAGAAGAAAUUACGUCAAAAUCCAGCUUGGGGGAGAGCACCCCCAUUUAUUCAGCUAAGUGUUUCUACUCGCGUUUAUACUUUACUCAAAUAAUAAAAAGAUGAAUAAUCAUGAAAACCCAAAUAAAAACUUUGUGAUUAUAUAUAUCUUUGCUUAGUUUGCUAAAUAAAUAAAUAAAGUGUCUAGGUCAAACUGAACUUAAAUGAUAAACUCUUACAUGGAAAUGAUAAAUAGUUGCUCUGUCAUGUACCUAGUUUUCAAGUUUGAGCUCUCUCUCAAGUUUAGUCAUAACUGCUAUAAUUUAAAUCUACUCUAAACCUGUACUCGUGGGAAGAGUACUUGAUCUAAAGUGUAAGUCAUUAACGGAUAUGAUAUUGAAAGGUUGAGCAGCUGUUUAUCUGUUCCUAAAGAUGCUAGAAUUCUGGAGAAUUUUAUCUUUGAAAAUCUUUAAAAUAACACGUGAUGAGUUCCUGUAUAAUGAGAGUUUAAAUUCCUACCACAGCCAUAUAUACAUGCUUGCUAGACUUUGAGCCACACAUUUACUUUUUACAACUUAUAAGCAUUGAGUGUGGUCAAGCUGUGUAGACCCUUAGGAGCUUGUCAUGCGGUUAAAAUCAAGAUUCACUUGCACGUUCACUCACACAUGCUGCUUCUACUCCGGAAGUACGCAUCCACAUAUAUCCACUCAUUUCAAUCUCCAGAUUCACCCAAAAUUAUUCUACUCCUACUCCGGGAGAGAAUAGCCAAAAACAUUUCCCUAUUUUUGUUUUUCCCUGUGAAAUAAAUGCUCAAGUUAUCUUGGUUACUACCCCUUGCUAUAUUAUUUCAAGAGGGUGAGUGAUCUAAAAAAAGAGAAAAGGAAAAAUACGAGGAAAUAAAAAGGGGCAAGUGCCCAGAACCUCGAAGAAAAGAAAAAGUGAGACGAGAGGUAAAAAUGGACAAGUGUCCGACAGUAGAAUUAGGGGUACAAGAUAUCCACCUGAGAGAAAAAAAAGAAAAAGAAAAUAUAGAGCAUCUCGUUCUCCUCAAAAAGCUUCAAAGUGCAAGAAAGGUAUGUAUCCCCUAAAAAGAGCAAAAGUAGAAUUAGACUUCCACCAUUGUUAUCACCAUCAUCACCAUACACCAUUCACUCGCCACACAUGCACAUCUUGAUUUGACUUAUUGACUUGUUUCUCUGGAUCCAUGGUUUGACUAUGCAAUAAAUGUCUUGUAAGUAUGUAUUAUCUGUCUCCCACCUAUGAGCUCCAGAUAUCAAAACCUUAUUAGAGUAGGGUGAGAGAGAAGGCAAUAUCACUAUGCCUCAUACCAAAAAUAUCACAUACUUUGAGAGAAGGCAUAUACCAUUACUGCCUUGGAAAGGAUCCAGAAAUACCACGAAAGAGAGAUUUGAGAGAGUCAUACAAGGAAUCUCUGAGUUUUAUUUGAAAAUCUGCAAAAACUCCAGAGCUAUACCUGAUCAAGAAUACGAGACAUGGCGCUUGACUUGACCGUUCUAUCUUUUAACUAUUCAAGACACAAGUGACGGUUACAAGCCCCAUGGUGAAAGCUAAAAUGAGUAAGUUUUAAGUUUUAACAGUUUACUCUAACUCAGAGAUGAACGCAUGUGUACUUUUAAGGCAUGAAACCACUGCAGAAACUCUUGAGUUCAUCCUUGCUCAGGGACGAGCAUGAGGUAAGGUUGGGGG
rnacentral:lncRNA from 1 species